UAAAAAAUAGCAAUUAUUUCUUUGUACCUCUGUGGAACAGAUGAAGAUGGAAUUAUGGACUUAACUAAUGUUGCAUCUACAAAGUCAACCCAUUUCGCAUAAAACAAUAGUUGCUUUUUAUACGUAUUGGUAGGUGGUGUUAAAGUCAUUAUUUUUUCCAUCGCAUAAUACUCCCAUAUUUUGAGAUACCAUUGGUUCAACGUUAAAGAAGAAUCGCUUUUCCAAUUAGCAGCUAUUACUGUUUUCGCUGCCAUCAAAAGAGUUGAGAUAAGCUCUUUACUCGAUAGAGGAAUAUUAAUGUCUUGCCAUAAAUCUAAUAGAAUUAGGUCUGGGUUAAAAGGUAAAUUAAUCUUUGUUAUUUCCCUGAUGGCUUGUAAUAUGGAUGACCAAAAUUGUCUGACUUUUUUACAAAGCCACCAACAAUGUAUGUAGUCCGCUGGAUCUCCACAACCUCUCCAACAGAGCGAUUCGCUUGGAAGAGCGGGUUCGAACCAGGAUUGUCUGGUAUAGCAAGCUAGUAACUUAAUUGACUGAGGUGUCUUAAACCAAUAACGUUGUUUAAGUGAGGAGGCUAUGGCUAUAAAUUGACCUCGGACUACGGCCUUCAGUGCAUCCCAGACCAUAUUAUGUGGGACUCCGCAGGACAUAUUAUGCUUCAAAUAUUCUUUAAUGGUUUUUUCAAUUGUGUCUGUUGUUGUUUGUAACAAUAAAAGUCUUGCGUCUAAGCUCCAAGAAUACGUUUGUUUUGUUUUGUC